AGGUGGUCGUCUCACACUGGGCUUGGCA
rnacentral:sRNA from 1 species